GUCCUCUUGUAUUUUAUAUGAGGUCGUGCCUGCCCGGUGGAUUAUAUUUUAACGGCCGCGGUAUUUUGACCGUGCAAAGGUAGCAUAAUCAUUAGUCUUUUAAUAGAAGACUGGAAUGAAAGGUUUGACGAAGUACUAUCUGUCUCGAUUUAAUAUUUCUGAACUUAGCUUUUGAGUUAAAAGGCUCAGAUUUUUUUGUAGGACGAGAAGACCCUAUAGAGCUUUAAGGUUCCCUUUUUAAGUUUUAAUUUUUUUAUUAAUAUUAUUAUUUCCUGGACUUUUUUGUUGGGGUGACAAGAGAUAUAUAUUUAACUUUUAUUAUUUAUUUUACAUUUAUUUAUGGUUUUUAGAUCCUUUAUUAUAGAUUGUUAGAAUAAGUUACCUUAGGGAUAACAGCGUAAUCUUCCUCCGGAGUUCAAAUUUACAGGAAGGCUUGCGACCUCGAUGUUGGAUUAAGAUUAUGGUCAGGUGUAGCAGCUUGAUCCAUAGGUCUGUUCGACCUUUAAAUUCUUACAUGAUCUGAGUUCAGACCGG
rnacentral:rRNA from 1 species